rnacentral:rRNA from 1 species
UACGUAGGGUGCAAGCGUUGUCCGGAAUUAUUGGGCGUAAAGAGCUCGUAGGUGGUGUGUCGCGUCUGCCGUGAAAAGCCCCCGGGCUCAACCUGGGAAUGGCAAUGGAUACUGGCAGGCUAGAGUGCGGUAGAGGGUAGUGGAAUUCCCGGUGUAGCGGUGAAAUGCGUAGAGAUCGGAGGAACACCAGUGGCGAAGGCGGCUACCUGGACCAGCACUGACACUGAGGCACGAAAGCGUGGGAGCAAACAGG